rnacentral:lncRNA from 1 species
CUCUACGCAGGCCCGCGCGGCCGCUACCUGCAGCACUUGGCCAGGCUCUCCCGCAGCGUCUUGCGCUCCUGCAGGCGCCGCUCGUGCUGUUGCUGGAAAGCGAGCUCGCUGUAGACCGGCCGCGACACCAUGUAGCUGCAGCUGUACUCGGGGAGCUGCGGCGGCUCCGACCUGCCGCCUGGCGCUGCCAUGACCUGCGAGCCAGAGGACAGCGAGGAGGGAGGACACGCGGUAAGCGAGGACGAUCGGAGGGGAAGAGCGAGGAACAGAAAGAACGGGAUCACCUGUUAGCUGCAGCCAGGCCCCCCUGCACCGCGAGUCUGGUCCGCGUCCUGCAGCCCUCGGCGCUCGCGACAAGCGCCCCACGGCGCGCACGGCCAGCCUGCAGGGGGGCACCUGAGAACCUUCGGGUCUCGUGGCCUGCACCCGCUGCCCGGGGUUCCCCAAACUUGAAGCGAGUAAGCCCCUGCUCUGGGGGCUUCCCGAGUUCCACCCAGUCCCCUAUGGCCCGCAGCCAGGGCGCUGUCCGCGUUCUGAAAUCUCCCCCAAACCGAGGGGCUGGGGCAGGGGCCAAAGGCGCUUGCAAGGCUGGAAGGGGACACUGAGAUUCCCUCCCUCCCCGCACCUGACCCGGGACGCAGCUCCAGGUGCGCACUGGAGGAGAGGUGCAGACCCCCGGGCCAGGCGUGGAACCGUCAGGGCGCGCUCCGCGGGUCCCCAAGAGGCGGACGCUGCAGGCACAUUCCAGCAGCUGUCGCAGCCCUCUCGGGGGCAGAACUUUCAGCUUAUUGAGCAAGUCUCUCCCCUCGUCCUGUUUUCCGAGCAGCCUGUUCGCUCUCGGCGUCUCAGAAAGAAAGCUGUACUGCCCCCUGCCCACCUGAUCCGUGACCACUUAAGAGUCCCAUCCGCAACCCUCGAGGCCUCCCCGGGAGUGGAGCCCGGGCCGGGCGGUGUGGGCAUCUUCAGGGCGAACUCACCUGUCUCUGCUCGCGCCCCGCCCGGAAUGCCCCGCGGACUACCCUUCCGCUGCCUUUAUAGCGCUCUCAGAAGGCAGUGGGACGUUUUAUUUACGGAGCAACAGACACCUUGGUCGAAGGGAAAGACACACACAGGCUGCGGUCUUUCCCAACCGAUCCUAUCAGGAAAGAAAUCCUACCCCUCCUGCAUUCUUCCCCUUUCCCGAACCGGGAAGGCUGAGACUCUUACUGGCUGCCACGCAGGGGCCACCCGGAUCCUCACUCAUCCCGUUACUAAUCUCAAGGGUUGCGAGGUCAGGGGCGGGCCAGGCCCUGUGGGACUCCUUAAAGAAGAGCAGAGCCCGCCUAGAGGAAGAGGUCCGUGGUCUCUGGGAGCCUGCCACAGGUGCUCUCAUACCACAUGGGGAGGAGAAGAGGAACAAUGGCCAGGUUUCUAUAUUAAUAAGUCCUUGAAUUUCUAGAAAGUCUUUUAGGAGUAUUCAAUGGGUGGAGGAUACAGAGAGUUCACGAUUUACUCAGAUUUUAGCCACUUAUUCUACGUGUGCAUGUGUGUGUGUUUUAUUUCACAAUCCAAAUCAAGCCGUCCAGGUGGCCCUUUCUUACCCACUAGACUCUGUUUUUUCUUUUUCUCAUUCUCCUGGACAAUCAGGGAAGGAAUAAACUGGACUACAUGGAAAUCAAGACUAGAAGAGAGGGAGGAGGAGCUGGAGCUAUCCUACCUCAUCAGUGUUUUGUCUUCUGUUGGGAUGAACUUUGUUAAAACUAAUGCAUGGUUAAGAUGAAAGGCAGAAGGAAGGGUUUGAUAAACCAGAACAUUCUCGCCUGAUUGUUAGUGUUCUGAAGUAAAUACAGAAGAGGCUCCAAAAUACAGACCUCUGUACAUCAACCUUCCGUAAUCCACCUGCCUUGCAUAUGCAGACCAUGACAAUUCUACGAGCUCCUGGAAACAGAACUCAGAACUCCUCCCCAGAGAACCCUGAUGCAAAUUCUCUGAAAUGGUAGUCAGCAUGUGCGUUUUCCUGAGAAGUGAAUGAGUCAACAGCUUUCAACAGAUCUUCAAAGGCUUACUUCACCCAAUGAAGUUAAGAACCACUAAAGAAGAAACCUAAAAGGAAAAUCCAGGUCAUGAACUUUGCAAUUUUUAUUCACAUACAGAGAAGAGGGGAGGAAUCUCUUGUGUAUGUUUUACUUAUGUAUACCACUGGUUCUUAAUAAAGGGCUUUUUUUGCCUCCAGAGGUCAA